AGUUACAGGAAAACAACAAAAAGGGUGGGGGUUGGAGGAACACAGAAUGAAAGGAAGAAGGGAAAACGUACUCCAGACAUUAACGUGAAUAAUGUGGAAGGUAAAACAACACAUCCUCUGGAUUUGUGCUGAGCGUGCCUGGAAGGAAAGAGGGGUGUUGAAAACAGGUGAGCAGCCCUUCUCCUGGUACAGCCAGCAAGCUUGUCCACACAGUGUUUGGUGUGGUACUUAUUCUACCCUUCAGGACAAUGCUUUCUUGGUACUUCUGAAUGCUGCUGCUGGCUCCUGCAACCGUAACGCACUCCUCUGAAAAACUCUAAUCUCAGACAGAAUGCAGCCAGCUGAAACCAGCAGUGGAACAU
rnacentral:lncRNA from 10 species